rnacentral:siRNA from 1 species
UGGGUUGACUAUAUGCAGAUCGGA